UUCGCAAUGCCCGAAAGGGUGACGAAGCGACGCCGCGUGGGUGAGGAAGGCCCUCGGGUUGUAAAGCCCUGUCAGGAGUUAAGAAAUGUAGGUACGCUAAUAUCGUAUCUAUUUGACAAAGGCUCCAAAGGAAGCCACGGCUGACUCUGUGCCAGCAGCCGCGGUAAUACAGAGGUGGCAAGCGUUGUUCGGAAUUAUUGGGCGUAAAGAGCACGUAGGUGGAUUUGUAAGUCAGAUGUGAAAGCCUUCUGUUCAACGGGAGAAUUGCAUCUGAAACUACAAACCUUGAGUAUAGGAGGGGAGAAUGGAACUUCUGGUGGAGCGGUGAAAUGCGUAGAUAUCAGAAGGAACGCCGGCGGCGAAAGCGAUUCUCUGGCCUAUUACUGACACUCAGUGUGCGAAAGCUAGGGGAGCAAACGGGAUUAGAUACCCCGGUAGUCCUAGCCGUAAACGAUGGGCACUAAGUAGAGGGGUUUU
rnacentral:rRNA from 1 species